rnacentral:rRNA from 1 species
GAACGCUAGCGGCAGGCCUAACACAUGCAAGUCGAGGGGCAGCACAAAGAUAGUUUACUAUUUUGGUGGCGACCGGCGCACGGGUGAGUAACGCGUAUGCAACCUACCUUAUACAGGAGUAUAGCCCGAAGAAAUUCGGAUUAAUCCUCCAUAGUAUUUUCUAAUGGCAUCAUUUGGAAAAUUAAAGCUUCGGCGGUAUAAGAUGGGCAUGCGUCCUAUUAGCUAGAUGGUAAGGUAACGGCUUACCAUGGCAACGAUAGGUAGGGGGCCUGAGAGGGUGAUCCCCCACACUGGUACUGAGACACGGACCAGACUCCUACGGGAGGCAGCAGUGAGGAAUAUUGGGCAAUGGAGGCAACUCUGACCCAGCCAUGCCGCGUGCAGGAAGAAUGCCCUAUGGGUUGUAAACUGCUUUUAUUUAGGAAUAAACCCUUCUACGUGUAGAAGGCUGAAUGUACUAAACGAAUAAGCACCG